rnacentral:rRNA from 1 species
GACAGAGGUGCCGAGCGUUAGGCGGAAUCACUGGGCUUAAAGCGUGUGUAGGCGGACUGAUAAGUACCUUGUGAAAUCCCACGGCUUAACCGUGGAACUGCUUGGUAUACUGUCGGUCUUGAGCCAGCUAGAGGUUACCGGAACAAAUGGUGGAGCGGUGAAAUGCGUAGAUAUCGGGAGGAACACCAGUGGCGAAAGCGGCUCUCUGGGGGCGAUCUGACGCUGAGGCGCGAAAGCGUGGGGAGCAAACCGG